rnacentral:rRNA from 1 species
GUGGGGAAUAUUGCACAAUGGGCGCAAGCCUGAUGCAGCAACGCCGCGUGAGGGACGACGGCCUUCGGGUUGUAAACCUCUUUUAGCAGGGAAGAAGGGAGCUUGCUCUUGACGGUACCUGCAGAAAAAGCACCGGCUAACUACGUGCCAGCAGCCGCGGUAAUACGUAGGGUGCAAGCGUUGUCCGGAAUUAUUGGGCGUAAAGAGCUCGUAGGCGGUUUGUCGCGUCUGCUGUGAAAUCCCGAGGCUCAACCUCGGGCCUGCAGUGGGUACGGGCAGACUAGAGUGCGGUAGGGGAGAUUGGAAUUCCUGGUGUAGCGGUGGAAUGCGCAGAUAUCAGGAGGAACACCGAUGGCGAAGGCAGAUCUCUGGGCCGUAACUGACGCUGAGGAGCGAAAGCGUGGGGAGCGAACAGGAUUAGAAACCCUUGUAGUCC